CAGCGGACCAAUGGGCAAGCGCACAUGAGUCUCGCGGGCCUCCCACCCCUGAGCCGAGCUGACCAAUGGGACCCAGGGAAACUUCACCCAGUCUGAUGCCCGACUAGACACAGAAGGUGCCUGAUGCGUGCAGAGACUUCCGGUCCCCGGGGAGGGCGGGCCGAGUCUGAGCAAGGAUCUAGGCGUGCGGGGCAUGUGUUUGCUCCAGGUCAGAAGCACGCUAGCCCCCUCUCUUCUUCGGCUGGAACGCACACCGUAAGCGACAAGAAUUGUGUGAGGGUGGAGACCAGACAGUGAUUCAACAGGUCUGGAGCAGAACACCCCCCCUCACACACAUACACACACCCCGUGCGCGUGCCCAUCCCUCAGCUCUUCACUCAGACAUAUCCGGUAGGUGGUUGAUAAAUGCUCAGGCAAGGCGGGCAGGGGAUAGCUGCAUUUUUCAGACCUGAGAUGGGGAAGAGAAAGGACGUGGACACGGUACUCAGAGUUCAGGGACUGGAUUAGGGGUGGCGGCCCUGGGCGUGACAGCUUUCCCUGAAGACAUUGGAGUUCCCCAAAACGAGUUCACGGAAUAAGUGCAGAGAAGUCCCUAAGCUGACAGACUGGCGGGCAUCUGACCCUGGGCCCCUUCCUGCGUUGCGGUCCCUACCUUGCAGGUGGUUGUGCCUUCGGAGGAUGCUUGCGAAAGGGACGCAGUGGCUGCUCUGGGAACCUCGAGUGGGAACAGCAGAAGCAGAAGGGACAAAAAUGGUAGGAUCGGAGACCAGGACAUGGCUGCGGAGGAAAAAGCUGGCAGGACUGCUUGGUCAGGCCAGGAAGGCGGGAGACUUUAAGCAAGUGGAGGCCCCACCCACUAAGUCCACGCCCCAUCCAGGCUCCUUCUAACCCUGGGACUCCUUUCCUGAAGGCUCCGCCCCAGCCAGGUGCUGGUCCCAAAUCACGAGGCCACAAGACUCUGUCCAGCCUCCAGUCCUCCGCGGCUAGCAUGUCUGGUCACGUGAAGUUUUUGGAUCAGGCAUGGGAAGGGGGACUCCAGACAGUGACGACCAGACCGAGGGACAGGAGGCUCAUGUUCUUCCCCAGAGCCCAGCGGAGGUGGGGGAGUGACACAUUCUCAUCACUAAUUCUUACUGCCAUGACUCCAGGUCACAGCAAGCCAGCCCCGCCCGCCCGGCACAUCCCCCCACCUCCGCUGAUUCAGGCCACAGCAAAGAAGCUAGCUUAGGCAGGGCAACUUCCCAUCUCUGGUUCUGGGCCCUGGCUUGGGUUGAGGACAUAGCUGAGGUACUUGCUUCCAGCAACUGAGUGUGAGACUGGAGAUGUGCCUGGACUCCAGACACUGUCCUUUUCCAUCAGCUGCGGUUUCCCAGUCUGUGAAAUGGGGUGCUAGUGACACAUGACUGUGGAUAGAGUCGCCAGGAAAGGAUCAUGCUGUGAGAGCCUCUGCACCAAGUCAGUUUGAGAAUUGAACCCUGGGUCCCUGGAGCAGUGACAGGCCACAGAACAGCAGCACCAGCAGGAAAAGUUCCAGCUCCAAGCGUGAGAAAACCGGGUUUUCUGUGUAGGAGACAGCAAGCUAGAGGGGAUGGCGAUUUGGGAUGGCUACAUGCUGAGUUCUGUUCUAACCAAGUCUUGAUUCCAACCCUCACCCCUCUGCAAGCUGGGCAGAGACCACCCCUGAGGCCACGAGUACGGAUAACAUUUGUUUUCUCUUUU